rnacentral:lncRNA from 1 species
AUUCAACUUAGAAGUUUUCUACUCUCCAAAAUGCCAGACUUAAUAAAUCAAGUGUGGAUAAUUGAUUAAUUUCACAGUUAUAGUUUUGGGUUCUUGAAUUUGCUUUUUUAUUUUCUUGCUCAAAAUAAUUGUUUUCGUGAGGUUUUGCUGAAUAAUUGCUGAUUAGUUUUUUAUAGUUGAUUCAGCUUAAAAAUUAUGCUUCAAGCACUGUUUAUUUGGCUAUAACCUGAAUUUGUAGUGGUUUUGAGUAAUUACUGAUAAUUAGGACAUAUUUUAACGAAAACAAGAAAACUUGGGGAAUUGAAGGCACCGAGUUUCUGAAAUUUCAUAUUUUUCACACACUUUAUAUCUAGUUAGAGUGUAGAAAGGCGAGAGGGAUAAUGUUUAAUGUAUAAUUAAUGUAGCUUGAAUUUAACAGUGCAAGUUUUUGGGUUCUUGAAUUUUCUUUUUCUAGCUCCUAAUUUUUCGCGAGAUUUUGUCAAUUAAUCGAUGAUUUAUUUAUUUGUGUUUGACAUGGGAGAUCCUGGCCCAUUUUUCUGAUCAUAUUUCCUUUGAUUUUGAUCAUUCUGCUCUGAAAUUGGAGUAGCAUCAUAAUUCUAUUGUAUAUGUCUAUUUUAGCUUACACUUCUGCUCUACACACUCAAAACUGAAUUAUAUGAACAUUCUUGAAUGGGUCGUAGCCCUCUUACCAUUGUGUUAUUUUCAUCAAACAAAUUCUCUUUUGGAUUAGGCAGAGUCUUGAAGGUAGAUUUUGUUUUACAUAAUAUCAACCCUCUUAGAAAAUUCCAUGGCGCUGCCUCUUCUUGUGAGCUCAUUUAUGCACCACAGCAUGCCAUCCCCUUUUUUCACAUUGGAGAGAAGUAUAAAACUACAAAAUAUGUGAUAACUGGUGUGACAGAAGGCUUGGAUACAUUUGAUGCCAGUGGCAUGAAAAAGAUCAGUGGUGGUCAAUGAAGUAGGAUUGAUGUGCCUCCUCCUUCACCCACCUCUGUCAACCUUUCUCUUUGGAGUAACAGUAUUGACAUUUAAAUCAGUAGCUAUGCUUGCUAAAGCAAUAAGAAGAAGUGGUAAUUCUUCCCCAACUUCUCAAAGUAGAUGUAAGAGGCAAGAAUAGUUGUGAUCCACGUGUUGCAAUGAGUUGACUUGCAGUCAGUAUUCCUUUUAUUGAAGUGUGUAGAAAGACAAGGUUGAGAUAAACAAGUAUAGGUUUGACAGUAGGCACAUAAUGGUAGGGAGCCUAGGGAUUGCAAUGUAAUUUAGGAAUCAAUCCAUUGACUAAAUGUAAAUUUAUUUUUACCUUACCUAUUCUUCAUAUUUGUCAUUUAAUCUUAGGGCAGACAUUAUAUUAUACUGAAAUACAUUUUUUUAUUUGUAUCUAAAUGACCAACAUCUACACGUGUAAAUAAUUUGAUAGGGCUGGCAUUUUCACUGAUUUCACUAGUAGAGAACUGCAUGAGCACACAGUUGCAUUUCCUUGAAAGAGCUAUUUAAUUAAAUGCCUUAUAAA